AUUGAACGCUGGCGGCAUGCCUUACACAUGCAAGUCGAACGGUAACAGGUCUUCGGAUGCCGACGAGUGGCGAACGGGUGAGUAAUACAUCGGAACGUGCCUAGUAGUGGGGGAUAACUACUCGAAAGAGUGGCUAAUACCGCAUGAGAUCUACGGAUGAAAGCAGGGGAUCGCAAGACCUUGUGCUACUAGAGCGGCCGAUGGCAGAUUAGGUAGUUGGUGGGAUAAAAGCUUACCAAGCCGACGAUCUGUAGCCGGUCUGAGAGGACGAUCAGCCACACUGGGACUGAGACACGGCCCAGACUCCUACGGGAGGCAGCAGUGGGGAAUUUUGGACAAUGGGCGCAAGCCUGAUCCAGCAAUGCCGCGUGCAGGAUGAAGGCCUUCGGGUUGUAAACUGCUUUUGUACGGAACGAAAAGCCCUGGGUUAAUACCCUGGGGUCAUGACGGUACCGUAAGAAUAAGCACCGGCUAACUACGUGCCAGCCGCCGCUGUAACAC
rnacentral:rRNA from 1 species